AUGGCCGCGACAACGGGCGCAACGGCCGCCGUGAUGAUGCUGGUUGUGACCGCGGUGGUCGCCGUCGUGAUGCGGACGUGCCUCCUGUAUUGCUUUGCUCCGCAUCCUCAAGCGUGGUGGCGGCCCGUGCCUCCGAGAUGCAGCCUCUGCAAGCCGUGCCGCUCGAGGCUGGGCGUGACCGCAACAUCGCAAGGCAUCCCUUGCCAUGUGCUGCCCGGCGUCGCUCUCAAGAAGCCCUCACGCCGCCUGCCUCGCCGUCGCUGUCACCAACCUUCGUUCUGCCGCCGUCGCCCAGGUCCAAGAGGAAUGAAGUCCAGUCGUCCACACUGUUGCCAGAGGAGCCAAGAGGGGCGCUGCGACAGCUAUGCGCGCCCACGAGGAUGCUGUUUCCUGUGCCGUCCCCAUCUAGGCGCCCUGGGUUCGAGGCCUCGCCAACGCCGCCCCUGCCGUCCAGCGGGCCGGUGUGCCACACCCCUUCACCCGUGCGGCGCUGUAGGGCCGACGCUUCUGGUGCUGUUGGACUGCAGUGCCUUGCGCCGUUGUUUGAAGAUUGGCAGGAGGCCAUCCUGCGCACCCUGGUUCCAACACCACCUCGAGCUCUUACGGCGCACCGUAAAACAAUGGCCGAAGUCUCCAUCUCCAGGGUCGGCGACACCUUCUCGCUGCACAAGACAAAGACGGCAAGCCGCCACAAGGCCACGCCCGUGA
rnacentral:rRNA from 1 species